UCGGUGGGGUUGGACCAGAUCUCCAGCCGCCCGUCAGCAUCGUCCUGGCUCCACUUCCCCGGAGCCAGGCGGAUGAGGAUCGGAGCGGAGGGGGAUCUGGCCCAAUCCCUACACCACG
rfam:Arthrobacter rhombi strain B Ar 00.02 genome assembly, contig: Scaffold1